rnacentral:rRNA from 1 species
GACGAACGCUGGCGGCGUGCUUAACACAUGCAAGUCAAACGGAAAGGCCCUGCUUGCAGGGUACUCGAGUGGCGAACGGGUGAGUAACACGUGGGUGAUCUGCCCUGCACUUCGGGAUAAGCCUGGGAAACUGGGUCUAAUACCGGAUAGGAGCCAUUUUUAGUGUGAUGGUUGGAAAGUUUUUUCGGUGUAGGAUGAGCUCGCGGCCUAUCAGCUUGUUGGUGGGGUAAUGGCCUACCAAGGCGGCGACGGGUAGCCGGCCUGAGAGGGUGGACGGCCACAUUGGGACUGAGAUACGGCCCAGACUCCUACGGGAGGCAGCAGUGGGGAAUAUUGCACAAGGGGCGCAAGCCUGAUGCAGCGACGCCGCGUGGGGGAGGACGGCCUUCGGGUUGUAAACUCCUUUCGCUAGGGACGAAGCUUUUUGUGACGGUACCUAGAUAAGAAGCACCGGCUAACUACGUG